AUUGAACGCUGGCGGCAUGCUUUACACAUGCAAGUCGAACGGCAGCGACGGGGGCAACCCUGGUGGCGAGUGGCGAACGGGUGAGUAACACAUCGGAACGUGCCCAGUUGUGGGGGAUAACCUAUCGAAAGGUAGGCUAAUACCGCAUGAGCUCGGCAAGAGGAAAGCGGGGGACUCAGCGAUGGGCCUCGCGCGACUGGAGCGGCCGAUGUCCGAUUAGCUUAGUGGGUGGGGUAAGGCUUACCAAGGCGACGAUCGGUAGCUGGUCUGAGAGGAUGAUCAGCCACACUGGGACUGAGACACGGCCCAGACU
rnacentral:rRNA from 1 species